AUGCUCAGUUUGACAGCAAAUACACUAAAAUUGGAGCCAUACAGAGAAGAUUAGUAUGACCCCUGUGCAAAGGAUGACAUGCAAAUUCAUGAAGCUUUCCAUAUUUGG